CGGGGGCCCGCACAAGCGGAGGAACAUGUGGUUUAAUUCGAUGAUACGCGAGGAACCUUACCCGGGCUUAAAUUGCAUUUGAAUAUAUUGGAAACAGUAUAGUCGUAAGACAAAUGUGAAGGUGCUGCAUGGUUGUCGUCAGCUCGUGCCGUGAGGUGUCGGCUUAAGUGCCAUAACGAGCGCAACCCUUAUCUUUAGUUACUAACAGGUCAUGCUGAGGACUCUAGAGAGACUGCCGUCGUAAGAUGUGAGGAAGGUGGGGAUGACGUCAAAUCAGCACGGCCCUUACGUCCGGGGCUACACACGUGUUACAAUGGGGGGUACAGAAGGCAGCUACCUGGUGACAGGAUGCUAAUCCCAAAAGCCUCUCUCAGUUCGGAUCGAAGUCUGCAACCCGACUUCGUGAAGCUGGAUUCGCUAGUAAUCGCGCAUCAGCCAUGGCGCGGUGAAUACGUUCCCGGGCCUUGUACACACCGCCCGUCAAGCCAUGAAAGCCGGGGGUACCUGAAGUACGUAACCGCAAGGAGCGUCCUAGGGUAAAACUGGUAAUUGGGGCUAAGUCGUAACAAGGUAGCCGUACCGGAAGGUGCGGCUGGAACACCUCCUUU
rnacentral:rRNA from 1 species